rnacentral:lncRNA from 1 species
GCUCCAGCCUCUUCAUGUGCUAGGGGAACUCCCCCAGGCCCAUCUGGCCUCUCCUGUGCUGAAAGGCCACAGAGUGACAGGCCAGAAACCUGACUCAGUGUUUAUUCACCAAACACUGAGAGGGCCCUCCUGAAUCUCUUCCCCACCCAAAGCCUCCCUACUUCGGGGGCAGGAGAGGGGACGGCACUGCCAUCUCCCAUGCUCAGCAUACCUGGUAUACUUGCCCCAGGAGAUUAGCCACAAGGAAAAGCAUGCAGGCUGCCCCCGACACAAGAGAAAAUCUGGUAAAACACAAGAAAGAACCACCACUGAGCAGCAUCAGCCAAGAGAAGAAUCCCACAUCCUGUGGAUUCCGGGGAUUGCUUUCCCCAUUUUAUCCGUAGGACACCGACUAAUGUCUUGGGAUUUCUGGCCCACAUUCCUCUCUCCAUGCGGAGUCUUGAGGUACUGUAAAUGAACGUCAGGGCCCCAGGACUUCUGGAAGAAGCUGGAGGAAAACCUGACUGCCACUGUCCUUAGGCAAAGGAUCACAUUCAAGUUAUUUGUCUUUGGCUAGUCCUUUAACGGUGCUUUGGAAUGGACUCACUAGGAAGCCAGUGUUUUCUAAACUAUCACAGGGUACCUCUGAAGUUGCCUAUGGUUUGCUUUGGGUCUGUCCCUCAGCGAUGUAACAGAAUCUGGAAAGUUACUUCUCCCCUUGAUAUCUGACCAGCCCCUCCACUGUGCCAUCCCCUGCAGGGAUUUACGGCUUGGUGAGGAGCCUCUGUGUCUCCUUGACAGGAAUUCCACCAUCAACUCAUCACCAAAGCGUCCUCAUCAACCUGGCUUUAAUCGCCUCCAAACCUGAUAAACAUCGGAGGAGGCUGUUCAUCCUUGGCAAAUUAUCUAAUCCACAUGUUGUUCAAUUUGUGUAAACCCCAGCCCACGAGGAUCAUAAAAUAAAUAAGCAUGAAAUGGUUUAUAGUUUCCAGUCUCCUUUCACCUAGACAGGCCAAGCUGCUCUCCCAGCCACCUCCAUGGCUCCCGCCUCCUUCCAAGAUAGGAUAGAUGUUGU